CUUAAAUUGAAGAGUUUGAUCAUGGCUCAGAUUGAACGCUGGCGGCAGGCCUAACACAUGCAAGUCGAGCGGCAGCGGGAAGUAGUUUACUACUUUGCCGGCGAGCGGCGGACGGGUGAGUAAUGUCUGGGGAUCUGCCUGAUGGAGGGGGAUAACUACUGGAAACGGU
rnacentral:rRNA from 1 species